rnacentral:misc_RNA from 1 species
UUAUUUUCAACUAAAUUGAGAUCUGGACUCUCUUUUCUCCAACGAGUCUAAAGUUGGAAGCCUCUUUUAACGAGCUCACAUUUUCAGCAACAAUAGCUCAAAGAAAGAAUCGAGGUAAAGCAAAAGUUUUACCUUCAGCUUUUGAAUCAGAUUUUAUUAUUAAUAGGCCCGUGACUAGAUCCUGGGAGAGAUCAUAACAACAUGUGAUAGAACUCCCAUAUUGGAUGUUUCACAUUGCAGAAAUACAUGUAAACAGAGAAAAUCUUAUAUGAACUUACUCCACUGAGUGUAUUGUGAACUAAACCUCUAAUGAAAUGUCAUCUAUAUUAUUUGAGUCAUUUUAGGUGGCAGUUAUUUGCAGACAUAAAUUAAGUGGCAUUUUGUAAACAAGAAGUUCAUACACCAUCUGGUGGACUAGGUCCAUGCAAGAACUUAUCACAUGUUAAGGCUAUAUAUCUUGAGUCUUGACCUAUCAAGUUUUUCUCCAAGAGAAAAAAAAAAAGGUCCAACGUGUUGCAAUCUUGCAUGGUCAAAUAAAAUCCCAGCAAAUACUACAAUUAACAGAGCCUGCAGUACGUCACUGGGUGACCAUUCUGCGUAUUAAAUGCUGAUCACCAAACAGUAAAAUAACAAUAGCUCAAAUAUAACAGAGAACCCAAGACUUUACGGUCUAUUUUCAACUUCAUGACUAUCUUCAAGCGUUUUUACACAGCAGUCAGCACAAGGCAAGUCUUUUUUUUUUUAAUUAAAAU